CAGAGGUUUGUUUAUGGAAGUAGCCAGGGAUCAGGCUGCCGUGCUCACAUUUUUCCCUCCUUCUUUCCACAUGGCGAGAGAAGGGUGGAAAAGAAAGCAAAGGGGCAUGCAUUCACUCAGAAGCCUGGGAGAUGCAGCAGGUCUCUGGUGACCUCCAUGCUGAGAGAAGGACAGGGGAGAAGGAUUUGCUGGAUCAAGGCGGCACCCUUCCUGUUGGAAAACUGGGAUGUAGAAUGUAUCCACGUUAAUUUUUCCUUCUCACUCCACCACUUUUUUUUCUUUUUUUGGCAUGAGCCGGGGAAAGCGGAGCUGGCUUCCUUCCUCCUGGAACACGGCUGCCAAACUCACCCCAGCCCUCCGUCCCUAUCCCCGGCUCCAAACAGAAGGGUGGCUUGUGUGGCUGGGCUCGGUUUUCUUCCUGCUCCAAAAAGAGGUGGCUACGAUCAGCUGCUGCUGUGAGGAUCUCCGUGCCCGGGCUUCUUCCCUGCCAAUUUCUCGAAGAGCUAAAGCUGGCACGGCAGGCGGCUCCGGUGGCAACCAAAGGAAGAUGCCGGAGAGGCUGGAUCACAGAGGAGGGGAAAUGGACCCAUGCCAUCGACAGAUCGGCAUGCCUGCCAGGAUGCCAGAAGGCAGCAUGGGGCCAAAAGGAACAUACGAGGCUGAGGAGCUGCUGGCAGCCCACUGCGAAGCAGGUGGCAGCUGAGUUGGCAGAGGUGCCAUGGAGGAUGGGCUGCCGAGACGCGGCGGCAGCCCAGGCGAAAGAGGGGGAAAAGGAGAGAGAUGGGAAAGAGAGAAAGAAAGAGGCAGGGAAGCCGGAAAAGCAUGGCAGGUAGCAGACGGCGCGUCGGAGCAGCGAUCAGGUACUGUCCCAUUGCUGGACCCCAGAAGUCUUUUCUUCAUCAUUGAACUGGAUCCACUCCGGACUUAGGAAGAGAAGAAUUGCUUUGUGGGGACCAAUAAAGGCUCCCCGGCUCCAGAAUGUUGACGGCUUAACAGAUACUGGCCCCCUUGUCUUGUUUCUCUCCUUCCCUCGUUUCCAUCCAAGGAGCUUGUAAAUACUUGCAAGAAAGAGACUUAACAAGGCUCUGCAGCUGCUGCUGUGUGACCCGCAGAAUCCAGUAUCAGCUGGUCCUUGGAGCUGAUCAGGGCUGUCUGCCGAUUUCAAGGGAAUUUUGAGGAAAACUCAGACACAGAGGACAACUUCGGAGGCAGGACCAUUACAAACUGGUCCAACAAUUGGCAUCUGCAGUCUUUGGUGUGAGAGAAAAUCCACCCCCUCUGGUGAAUCUCUUGGGAAGGAUAGACAGAAUUCUCUUUUUGAGAACGGAGGUGGUUUUUUUAGCAAGAAGCAAGCAAGCCACAACUUGGGGAGCAAGAGGUGAUCGUCAAACAAGGGAGUUCUAUGCUGCUUGAAAGGGUGAACAGCAAAGAGGUUGAGUGGCACUGGAGGGCCUGAUCCAGCCAUACAAGUGGCCAAGAGUUCCCCAAAGCAUUAUGGAAUGUUAUGUUUUUAAAAAUCAGCAUUCCAGGAACAUCCUGAGAGUUCGCUUCCUUGCACGCAGAAGGUUCCCAGUCCCCUCCCUGGCAGCAUCUCCAAGAUGGGGCUGAGAGGGACUCCUGCCUGCCACCUUGGAGAAGCCGCUGCCAGCCUGGGUCGACAAUCCUGAGCUAUAUGGACCAAGGGUCUGACUCAGUAUAUGGCAGCUGCCUAUGUUUUCUCUACAGUAUGUUUCAGUAUAUACAGCCCCUGCCCAUCCCAUCCCAGGCCUGAUUUGAGUUGUGCCACCUGGUUUGCAACAAGCCAAAGACUUGCUAUACAACACACCAUGCCGAUCUCUUCUCCUAACAACCGGGAAAUCUGUUGCCAUUCCUCUGUGGGCCAGUGAUCUGACAGAGUUCUACUUUCCACGUGUGGGGUCAUCUGGGUUGUUGUUGGGAGCCUACCCUUUGAACCAGAAGCAAUGGGGAUUGUUAUUUUUUUUUAAAAAAAAGAUCUGAAAUGCUAUGAACAUGAAUAUGUCAUCCAGCUGAUAAUUAAUUAAUGGUGCAGAAAAGAACCAUAAAGCACCCUGAUCAGAGGCAUUAUUGUAAAAGCCUCCCAAUCAUAUAUCCUACCAGCACAAGCUACGAGUUCCUGUAGCAUAAAUUAGACCUCAUGCAGGA